rnacentral:rRNA from 1 species
AGCAGUAGCCACGGUAAUACGUAGGGUGCGAGCGUUAAUCGGAAUUACUGGGCGUAAAGCGUGCGCAGGCGGUUAUGUAAGACAGGUGUGAAGUCCCCGGGCUCAACCUGGGAACUGCGUUCUGAACUGGGUGACUAGAGUGUGUCAGAGGGAGGUAGAAUUCCACGUGUAGCAGUGAAAUGCGCAGAGAUGUGGAGGAAUACCGAUGGCGAAGGCAGCCUCCUGGGAUAACACUGACGUUCAUGCCCGAGAGCGUGGGUAGCAAACGGGAUUAGAUACCCGUGUAGUCCCUGUCUCUUAUAC